rnacentral:lncRNA from 1 species
AUUUUAUAUCCCAUAAUGGUCUCUAUGUCCUACUGUGUUAAAUUUUAAAAUAUACUUUUAAGAUAUCUCUAGAUAACAGAAGUAAGACUUUCAGAGUUGGGUUCCCUUUGCAAAAUGAUGAGUUUCUGGAGAUGGUAUAGACCAAGAAGGCAGGCAGUUGGGAUAUGAUGAUAGUUCCCAGUGUUUCCUCCUUAAAUGGAGACUCAUAAAGAAGUUUCAAGAUUGUACACACCCAGCAACAGGUAGGGAAGGAUCCCAGUAAUAAUAUGCUGAGAAGGUGUGGGCUUGAGAAUUUAUUUAACCUACAGAAUGAUGUUUCUUGAGAAGUCACAUAUGACUUUAGAGAUAAGUGAAACUCCAUAUAGAGUUCUCCAUACCUCAAUAGUGUAGAAAGGAAACAAGACUGACAGUUGGUGGGGGAAGGGGCAUCUGGGAGUGGCAGUUGGGUCUUGUGACUAGCACUUCCUUCCUUCUGGGGUGGGACUUCCUUCCUGGGGUUGGAAGAGAGAGGAGCUUGUUCAGCCAGUCUGGAGUGGCAUGCCUCUUCUUGGUUCAGCCUGAAGAUUUUGGCCCAAUUACUUCUGAAGGCAUCAGAACAAAGGGAAAGCAAGCUAUUUAAUGACAUGAUUUGGGAUGGAAGACUGCAGAAACAGCCUCUGGUCUGGAAUUCCUAGAGUUCGAUCAUCUUGGAGGUCUCUUUUAGGUCUGAAGUUUUGUGAUUAAAAACCAAAUUGGAGGUAGUCCUCCAGGAGCCAUAUUAUGAUCUUCUGUGCCUUGCUGAUGAAUUAUUCAUAUCGCCAUGUGCGUGAAACCAAUUUGUGGAUUUUUAGAUUUACUAAAUAAUUUGUACAGCUUAGAAUCUGGAUGCUUUGAAUUUGCUCAAAGCAAUAGGGCAUUCCACUAGGGACAUGGGAUAUAAGACUAGCUUCCUAAGUUCCUGGAACCUCAGCCAUGCUCUUCAUUGGUUGUCUAAAUUUCCAUAAUUGAUCUGGCAUUCACCCAAACAUCU